GUGUUAAAAUUUUGCACCUAAAAUAAAUUCAAGUGACUAACGUUUUUGUGUAGUUCAAUUUAGCCACAUUUUAUCACAUUAGAGAUUUUUUAAAGAAACACAAAAAUCAUACAAAUGGCUUUAAGAUAAUUUAGCGUAGUGAAGCAUGACCAAUAGGUCAGUUUUCUCACCAGUCAUACUAUGGGUGGAAGGUGAUACUGAAAGUAAUUUUUUUUUUCCAUCAGAAAGCAGAAGCAUGGUCUUCUCACUUCUACUUUGGCCUGGAACAACUUUACGUGACUUCUUGUUUCUUAGGGAAGGCAAUGGGAAGAAAGAAGAAAUAGCAUGGAACAUAUGUAUGUUUGUUUCAUAAGGAAGGUACUCUGAGAAAUGAAGAAAGAGCAUGAACAAUAUAUAUAUACAUAUUGCAUAUAUAUAUUCAUGAAAAAAGUUGCACAAGUGUCUAUUUCUCAGUAUUUAAGUACUUGGAGUGUUAUUUUAAGGAAUAUGGUAGAACCCUGACAUCCGGAAGACUCUAUUUUCUGAGAAUCCACGUGUCUAAAAAAGAAAAGUUGAACACUUCCAGGAAAGUGAUAGUUAAAAAUGAAUGGAAUAUUAACAGAGUUUUAUCAAUCAACAGCUUGUAAAAAUGUUUAAAGAGCUAGGUACAUUUUUAAUGCAGAGCAGAAAAGUACAACUUAUUUAAUGCAUCAAAAAGUAAAUAUUUUAUAGAAAUGUGAUUUGGAAUCCUUGCGGAGAUAAGCUGUGUCAGUUGCCUUUCAUUUGAAUUUAGUAGAAAUCUAGAAGUCAUGCGUCAGUUGGUACAACUGUAUCCCAUUUUGGCAGUCCUUCAAAAUUUGUCUUAGCAAGCGCUAUUGACAUUUCACUGGGCUUAAACGAUAAGCCAGUCUAAGGCCACAGCGAACACACCUCAACUCCCCACAGUGUUGUGUACACUGUUGUUGAUCUCGUAGAGACAUUGAGUAGUGCCUUUUUAGCUCCUUCGCAUCGCUUUCUUACUCUGUGCUUUGCGUUCUCUGUGUCUUCUGCCCAGUUCUGAAAAUUGCCUGGUAGAAAAAAGGGCUUCAGUGUCAGCGGAGACUACUAUUUUUCAUCUCAGGGAACUUUCAAUACUCAAGAAUGAACUUGAUGAAAGGUAUUUAGUGUUCAAACAAGACAGAUUCUACAAGACCAUCUCAUUCCCUAUUGUCUAAGCUUCCAUCUGCCCUCCCCCUUAGCUGUAGUCUGGGUUUUUUCAUAAGAUUGGAACAAAUAUCUCAUGGAAGGCCAACAAAAAGAUGGAGAACCGAGACUUAACUAGCAAGGGGGCAUAAGGAAUCAUAGCAAAAAAUCUAAGUACAUACUUGAAAUACCUGGGUUUGUUUAGUUUUGUUUGGGCAAUGAUCAUCCAUGCACAGCUUUAUUUUGUACAUCUUUCACAGCUUCAUCCUCCAUCUGGCGAUGCUGAGGCAGCUGAUUGUGAAAUAUCCCUUUGCUUUAGAUACUACGGUUGUUGCUGUGCUGUUGACAUGAAUAGGCCAUGAAACAUGUUCCCCAUUAUUAUUCAGCCUGUUCUAUAGUCAAUAUUAAGUUGCUGAAACAAAGCAAAUCAGUAACAGAUUUUUCUUUUUCUGGGCAAAUUCAAUGAUUCAGCCCACAGGAUGGAUACAAUGACUGUGGAAGUUUUCUAUCUGGAAGGUGCUGGGCAUUCAACUGUCUUCAUAUAAUGUAUAUCAUAUGAAUUGUACAUCCAUUGCUAAUGGGAAUUUCUAUAUAUAUGCUUACAGUAGCGAUUUAUUUAAUUAUUGCUGGGGGUGAUGUACAUACCAACUAGUCUCUAAGCUACUAUGAAGGGAAAGGGUAAACAGAAUAACUUAUGUCGAUUGAGCCAGUUAAUCAUAAUGCACAUAAUGUGGUAUUUGGUUCAUAAAAGAAUUGUUUUUAUGUGGUUAUUGUAAGGGUAUUUAUAAUGUGGAAGGGUGUGGGGAGAGUUAUGUAUAGUUAGUUGUUGCCUCCACAAGUUUGGACGCUUUCUCCAUCAAACAUUAUCAGUUUACCAAUGUUUUAAAAACUGAAUAAGGGUUGUUAUUCAUAUCUGAGAAAAGCCAAUCCAAAUAAGCCCACCUAGAAAUAGAUACUUUAUUAUAUAUGUGCUAUAGGUAUAUCUAUAUAGUACAAAUAGACAUGUGUGAUGCAUAUAUACAAUGUUAUAUAUGUGUACCUGUGUGUAUACACACUGAAUUGUAAUACGUACACAAUAGAUUUGUGUUAAUGGUGAUCCCUUCAGGGUCUGCCCUCUGAACAGCCCUGGAGAUUAAUAAGACCACUGUAGAGUAAAGUUCUUUUGAGACUUCAGUUAUUAAUCUGCUUUAAAAAGGAUCUGCUGAAUUCUGUGUUGUUCACGCCUAGAAUUACAUGAAGGAUCUUCUAGUAUGUCGAAUCUUAACAAUAAAAGAAAAAGGAAAAAAUAUUUCUUCAAGCUGGCAAUAUAUUGGAAUUAGAGUUUUCAGAUUGUGGCCCUAGGUCUGUGUUCCUCAUUGAAGUAGCACUUUUUAAAUAAAUACUGUUUUAUUGUGUAGGCAAAAGCACAAGAGUUUGAAGUGUAUAUAGCAAGAGAGAAGAGUUUACAGAGAUAGCCUUGCUGCACAGGAUAAUGCUACUGAAUAAGGUUUAUUCUGUCAGGUUCAUUUUGUUCAACACUGUUUCCCUAUUGUUUGGGCAUAGAAAUCUGGUAUCAUUGUUUUAUCAUUUGUAAAAUUGUAAAAUAAAUUAAAUUCUUUUUUCCAA